AGUGAUCCGGUGGUUCUGAAUGGAAGGGCCAUCGCUCAACGGAUAAAAGGUACUCCGGGGAUAACAGGCUGAUACCGCCCAAGAGUUCAUAUCGACGGCGGUGUUUGGCACCUCGAUGUCGGCUCAUCACAUCCUGGGGCUGAAGUAGGUCCCAAGGGUAUGGCUGUUCGCCAUUUAAAGUGGUACGCGAGCUGGGUUUAGAACGUCGUGAGACAGUUCGGUCCCUAUCUGCCGUGGGCGCUGGAGAACUGAGGGGGGCUGCUCCUAGUACGAGAGGACCGGAGUGGACGCAUCACUGGUGUUCGGGUUGUCAUGCCAAUGGCACUGCCCGGUAGCUAAAUGCGGAAGAGAUAAGUGCUGAAAGCAUCUAAGCACGAAACUUGCCCCGAGAUGAGUUCUCCCUGACUCCUUGAGAGUCCUGAAGGAACGUUGAAGACGACGACGUUGAUAGGCCGGGUGUGUAAGCGCAGCGAUGCGUUGAGCUAACCGGUACUAAUGAACCGUGAGGCUUAACCUU
rnacentral:rRNA from 1 species